rnacentral:tRNA from 1 species
AGGGGAGUGGCUCAACUGGUAGAGCGGCGGUCUCCAAAACCGUAGGUUGCGGGUUCGAUUCCUGUCUCCCCUGCCA